rnacentral:rRNA from 1 species
GGUCCCGCCUGCCCAAUGAACCCACUUUCAAUGGCCGCGGUAUCCUAACCGUGCAAAGGUAGCGUAAUCACUUGUCCCCUAAAUAGGGACCCGUAUGAACGGCUAAUUGAGGGUGACACUGUCUCUUUUGGCAAAUCAAUGAACCUGAUCUCCUAGUACAAAAGCUAGGAUACAAACACAAGACGAGAAGACCCUGUGGAGCUUCAAGCCAGCCGCACUGACCAACAUAACAGUGCAUGCUUUAAGUUGGGGCAACUACGGAGAAAAACCCAACCUCCACGACACAGGCCACCUAGCCAAUUAAGGGGGACACCCCAAAAAUUUAAACCACGACCCAGUAAUACUGAUCAUCGAACCAAGUUACCCCAGGGAUAACAGCGCCAUCCCCCUCCAGAGUCCACAUCAACAGGGGGGCUUACGACCUCGAUGUUGGAUCAGGGCACCCAGGUGGUGCAGCCGCUACCAAAGGUCCGUUUGUUCAACGGCUAACGCCCU